GAGCCUAGCACAGAAGAUAGCAGUGCAUUCUCUUAUGCACCUUCAUCAUCAGAAGCAGAGCCUUGUAUCACCACAAAGUCUUCUAAACGAGGGCCUACUCGUGGUAAAGGGACUGUCAUAGCUGCCAGAGUUGCUCCGGGUGGCAAGUUAUCUGUUACUUUUAAUAGUGAUUGUCGCCAAGCUAUUUGUACAAAUGCUGAAAAGUUUAACAAUGAGAUUGGAUUUGUUAUUCGUAAUCAUGGCACAUUUACUUAUAAAGAAUGGAGGCUUGUGCCGGAGGAGGUGAGAGCGCCAUUGAGACAAUAUCUUUUGGAAAGUUUUGACAUCAACUUGUGUGAUAAGACGACAUUCAAGUUCAUUGAUGAGA